UUGACCUCGGAUCAGGCAGGGAUACCCGCUGAACUUAAGCAUAUCAAUAAGCGGAGGAAAAGAAACCAACAGGGAUUGCCUCAGUAACGGCGAGUGAAGCGGCAACAGCUCAAAUUUGAAAUCUGGCUCUUUUAGGGUCCGAGUUGUAAUUUGUAGAGGAUGCUUCGGCGUCGGCUCCGGUCUAAGUUCCUUGGAACAGGACGUCAUAGAGGGUGAGAAUCCCGUAUGUGAUCGGUUGCCCUUGCCAUGUGAAGCUCCUUCGACGAGUCGAGUUGUUUGGGAAUGCAGCUCUAAAUGGGAGGUAAAUUUCUUCUAAAGCUAAAUACUGGCCAGAGACCGAUAGCGCACAAGUAGAGUGAUCGAAAGAUGAAAAGCACUUUGGAAAGAGAGUCAAAAGUACGUGAAAU
rnacentral:rRNA from 1 species